rnacentral:rRNA from 1 species
AGCGAACGCUGGCGGCAGGCCUAACACAUGCAAGUCGAACGAACUCUUCGGAGUUAGUGGCGGACGGGUGAGUAACACGUGGGAACGUGCCUUUUGGUUCGGAAUAACUCAGGGAAACUUGUGCUAAUACCGAAUGUGCCCUUCGGGGGAAAGAUUUAUCGCCAUUAGAGCGGCCCGCGUCUGAUUAGCUAGUUGGUGAGGUAACGGCGCACCAAGGCGACGAUCAGGAGCUGGUCUGAGAGGAGGACCAGCCACACUGGGACUGAGACACGGCCCAGACUCCUACGGGAGGCAGCAGUGGGGAAUCUUGCGCAAGGGGCGAAAGCCUGACGCAGCCAGGCCGCGUGAAUGAUGAAGGUCUUAGGAUUGUAAAAUUCUUUCACCGGGGACGAUAAUGACGGUACCCGGAGAAGAAGCCCCGGCUAACUUCGUG